AUGGAGUGGAGCCACCAAACAAUUUAUGAGAUUUCCGCCAUGGACGCCGCCUCGCUCAUGGGCUCCUCCUCCGCCGACGCGCGCACCGACGGGGAGCACCGGAUGGGCAUCACCAUCAUGGGCGUCUGCUACGACGGCAGCGUCCUCGCCGCUGACACUCAGGACCAGCACCGAGAGGUUCCACAACUUCGGUUUGGCUAUCAUCAAAAUUGGAGGAGAGCCCGAUGCAUUGGAGAGCAUCAUCCGUGA
rnacentral:rRNA from 1 species